rnacentral:tRNA from 1 species
GCCGAGGUAGCUCAACGGUAGAGCAAUCGCUUCGUAAGCGAUAGGUUGUGGGUUCGAGCCCCAUCCUCGGCU